AGACUGAAUGGGAGAGUGUGACUGCUCCCUGCAAAUCCUCCCCAUGUCUGGACUGAGGAAAUAGCUCGAAGCACCAUCCGUCUCCUGGUGGAGCAGCAGCAGCGUCCAGAGGCUGGGGGCUGAGGCUCCUUGUUUCCAACAAGCUCCUAGGUGAUGGAUGCUGCUGGCAGGUGCACCACACUGAGUUGCAAGACUCGUCCCUCCAGGCACCCCCUUCACAGGUUCAGCAUCCUCGCUGCCAUCUCCUCACAAAUGCGGCCUCUGAAGACAUACCCAUUCCUUUUCUUCUGAGCCCGCAGAAGACAACCCUGCCUAGCUUCUUUGCAGCUACGUGGAGACAUGUGACUAGUUUGGCCAAUGGGAUGUGAGAAGAGAUGAUGAAACUCGGAGGAGAACUUGUGAGAUCGCCGUGACUGCUUUUCCCCUGCCACAGUGGCUAAGAGGAUAAGGCUAUCAAGGGUGGAGCCUCUCUAGGCCUGGGUUCCUGGGUGCCUGUGUGGAGCCGAGACCCCAGGCUAACUCACAAUGAACACGCCGUGUGAGGAAGACGUAAAGCUUUAUGUAUUAAGCCACUGGAGCUUAGGGUUUAAUUUGUUACUGUGGUGUAGCCUACCCUAUUCUAACCAAUACAAGGAUCUUUGGAUGACUCUCCUCCAGGAAUUCAUAUACAAAAACAUCCUCCCUGCAUGAGAACUCCCUAUAUGGUUCCAGCAGUAUCUCUCACCUGCAAUAGUGACUAAAGUCAAGACUCUCUGCUGGCUAUUUCGUUUCUACUGAACUAGAAUAUAAAUUUGAGCAGGACAUGGACCUUUUCAAUCUUGCCUACCCUCAUAUCCCAGUAACAAGUGGCUAGCAGAGUACCUGACACAUCAUGGAUGCUCAAAAAAUAUUUCUUGACUAACUGGAUGAAUAAAUGAGUGAAUCAUCAUCAGGAUUGCUGCUCGUGAACCCCUCCUCUUGCAGCUACCUGCCUUUGAAUUUGCCCUCAGGCUUCCUAGCUAGUUUCUUCUUUAGCCUUUCUGACCCAUCGUUCCUUCCGUAGAGUUCAAGACAACACUGCUCCUCCUAUGAACCAAAAGAAAGUGCCAGCGGCUGUUGGUGACGAAGCUCUUCUUUUCUAGGCAAUAAAGCCCCCUCCAGUUGUAGCAGUUUUCUCUGGAAUGGUAAGUCCCUCAGAUCUGGGAGUUAAUUGUUACUGUGGCAGAGGCCAGGCCACCCUGACUGAUAGAAGACCUUUUGGGAGAUUCUUCUUUCCCUGGAUGAGGUUGUACCCUGUUUAUGUUGGAUAAACAACUCAAAACCAGUAGCAUAGAAUGUUAGUGCCAGAGGGGAACUGAGAGACUAACAUGUUUUCCUUUUGCAAAUGAGGAAACUGAGGCAGAGAGAAGGGAGGGAAAUUGAUUAAGGCCUUUGGCUUAUUGGUUCAUUCCUUUGAUCGCUGUGAUGGAUGUUUCCCUGUCUUUUUAACCCCCCUGGCUUGUGUACCCUGUUCCAAGGAAUUCUCCAACUCAUGACUCUCCAACUUAUGAUGGGAAACAGAGCCCACCUCCCACUCAAGAAAAAAACAAUGCUUGCAGCACUAUUCUCAAUUGCAAAGACAUGGAAUCAACCCAAAUGCCCAUCAGUGAUAGACUGGAUAAAGAAAAUGUGGUACAUAUACACCAUGGAAUAAUAUGCAGUCAUAAAAAGGAGGAAUGGGAUCACGUCCUUUACAGGGACAUGGAUGAAGCUGGAAGCCAUUAUCCUCAGCAAACUAAUGCAGGAACAGAAAACCAAACAUCACACGUUCUCACUUAUAAGUCGGAGCUGAACAAUGAGAACACAUGGACACAGGGAGGAGAUCAACACACUCUGGGGUCUGUUGGGGGACGGGAAGAAAGCAUCAGGAAAGAUAGCUAAUGCAUGCUAUGCUUAUUACCUAGGUGAUGGGUUGAUAGGUGCAGCAAACCACCAUGGCACACGUUUACCUAUGUAACAAACCUGUGUGUCCUGC
ensembl:lncRNA novel transcript